UGCGUAGGCGGUUUAUUAAGUCAGUGGUGAAAGACGGUCGCUCAACGAUUGCAGUGCCAUUGAUACUGGUAGACUUGAGUGUGAUUGAGGUAGCUGGAAUGGAUAGUGUAGCGGUGAAAUGCAUAGAUAUUAUCCAGAACACCAAUUGCGAAGGCAGCUUACUAAACUGUCACUGACGCUGAUGCACGAAAGCGUGGGGAGCGAACAGGAUUAGAUACCCGAGUA
rnacentral:rRNA from 1 species